rnacentral:miRNA from 1 species
UAACACUUUUAAAAUCGGUCAUAAAAUUUAUAACCGAUCUUUUUUAAGAUCAGUUAAAUUUUAACCGAUCUUAAAAGUGUUC